CAGGAUGAUUGUAGGAUCGAAUGACAUGGUAACUUACCACUGAAGGAUAUUUUUGAUAUUUUUAUCAAAAUUUUAUAUCUUUCAGAUAGACAUGAUAUAUUGUUAGACGUCAAUCUUAUCUUAUAGGUUUGAUUGAAUUAAAGAUUUUAAUUUGAUUGCUAAUUAGCAAGGGUUCUAAUUGCUAAAAUCAGAUUAGCUCGAUUAAACC
rnacentral:lncRNA from 1 species